AGUUUGAUCCUGGCUCAGAUUGAACGCUGGCGGCAGGCCUAACACAUGCAAGUCGAGCGGUAGAGAGAAGCUUGCUUCUCUUGAGAGCGGCGGACGGGUGAGUAAUGCCUAGGAAUCUGCCUGGUAGUGGGGGAUAACGUUCGGAAACGGACGCUAAUACCGCAUACGUCCUACGGGAGAAAGCAGGGGACCUUCGGGCCUUGCGCUAUCAGAUGAGCCUAGGUCGGAUUAGCUAGUUGGUGGGGUAAUGGCUCACCAAGGCGACGAUCCGUAACUGGUCUGAGAGGAUGAUCAGUCACACUGGAACUGAGACACGGUCCAGACUCCUACGGGAGGCAGCAGUGGGGAAUAUUGGACAAUGGGCGAAAGCCUGAUCCAGCCAUGCCGCGUGUGUGAAGAAGGUCUUCGGAUUGUAAAGCACUUUAAGUUGGGAGGAAGGGUUGUAGAUUAAUACUCUGCAAUUUUGACGUUACCGACAGAAUAAGCACCGGCUAACUCUGUGCCAGCA
rnacentral:rRNA from 1 species